rnacentral:rRNA from 1 species
GAUGAACGCUGGCGGCGUGCCUAAUACAUGCAAGUCGAGCGAACGGACGAGAAGCUUGCUUCUCUGAUGUUAGCGGCGGACGGGUGAGUAACACGUGGAUAACCUACCUAUAAGACUGGGAUAACUUCGGGAAACCGUAGCUAAUACCGGAUAAUAUUUUGAACCGCAUGGUUCAAAAGUGAAAGACGGUCUUGCUGUCACUUAUAGAUGGAUCCGCGCUGCAUUAGCUAGUUGGUAAGGUAACGGCUUACCAAGGCAACGAUGCAUAGCCGACCUGAGAGAGGGGUCGGCCACACUGGAGCUGGAACGCGGACCAGACUCCUACGGGAGGCAGCAGUAGGGAAUGUUCCGCAGUGGGCGAAAGCCUGACGGAACAACGCCGCGUGAGUGAUGAAGGUCUUCGGAUCGUAAAGAUCUGUUAUUAGGGAAGAACAUAUGUGUAAGUAGCUGUGCACAUCUUGACGGUAACUAAUCAGAAAGCCACGGCUAACUACGUG